rnacentral:rRNA from 1 species
UACGUAGGGCGCAAGCGUUGUCCGGAAUUAUUGGGCGUAAAGAGCUCGUAGGCGGUCUGUCGCGUCCGUUGUGAAAACUCGAGGCUCAACCUCGGGCUUGCAGUGGAUACGGGCAGACUAGAGUGCGGUAGGGGAGACUGGAAUUCCUGGUGUAGCGGUGGAAUGCGCAGAUAUCAGGAGGAACACCGAUGGCGAAGGCAGGUCUCUGGGCCGCAACUGACGCUGGGGAGCGAAAGCAUGGGGAGCGAACAGG